rnacentral:ncRNA from 1 species
GAAGAACGUCGCCGGAUUCACGCGAGGGUGUUUAACACCAGCAUAGCUUGUCUAUGUGGCAGUCGCGCAGGGGGUUCUUCUUUUU